rnacentral:rRNA from 1 species
UACGAAGGGGGCUAGCGUUGUUCGGAAUUACUGGGCGUAAAGCGUGCGCAGGCGGUUGUGCAAGACAGAUGUGAAAUCCCCGGGCUCAACCUGGGAAUUGCAUUUGUGACUGCACGGCUAGAGUGUGUCAGAGGGGGGUAGAAUUCCACGUGUAGCAGUGAAAUGCGUAGAGAUGUGGAGGAACACCGAUGGCGAAGGCAGCCCCCUGGGUCAAGAUUGACGCUCAUGCACGAAAGCGUGGGGAGCAAACAGG